rnacentral:rRNA from 1 species
AUUGAACGCUGGCGGCAGGCCUAACACAUGCAAGUCGAGCGGGGUUUUCGGACCUAGCGGCGGACGGGUGAGUAAUGCGUAGGAAGCUACCCGAUAGAGGGGGAUACCAGUUGGAAACGACUGUUAAUACCGCAUAAUGUCUACGGACCAAAGUGUGGGACCUUCGGGCCACAUGCUAUCGGAUGCGCCUACGUGGGAUUAGCUAGUUGGUGAGGUAAUGGCUCACCAAGGCGACGAUCCCUAGCUGGUUUGAGAGGAUGAUCAGCCACACUGGAACUGAGACACGGUCCAGACUCGUACGGGAGGCAGCAGUGGGGAAUAUUGGACAAUGGGCGCAAGCCUGAUCCAGCCAUGCCGCGUGUGUGAAGAAGGCCUUCGGGUUGUAAAGCACUUUCAGUAGGGAGGAAGCGUUGUGUGUUAAUAGUACACAGCGUUGACGUUACCUACAGAAGAAGCACCGGCUAACUCUGUGCCAGCCGCCGCUGUAAUAC